CUUGGAAAUGAUCCUUGGUUCAGAGGGAAAGAAAGAAAGGAGUUGCAAUGCGUGAAGAAAUGCCAGCAGAGGCUGAUGCAUUGUCUUGGAGAGAUGGAGAGUGGAAUUUGUCAGGAUGUCUCUUGUACUAAUGCGGAAAAGUGCUGCAUGCAACACACGUGGAGAUUCAGUGACAAGAGAUUUAGACCAGUGUGUUCCUAACCAUCAGCUCUGAGCUAACAUCUGCUGCCAAUCCUCCUCUUUCUGCUGAGGAAGACUGGCCCUGAGCUAACAUCCGUGCCCAUCUUCCUCCACUUUAUAUGUGGGACGCCUGCCACGGCAUGGCUUGCCAAACAGUGCCAUGUCCGCACCUGGGAUCAGAACCGGUAAACCCUGGGCCACCGAAGUGGAAUGUGGGAACUUAACAGCUGUGCC
rnacentral:lncRNA from 1 species